GAUGAACGCUAGCGGCAGGCUUAAUACAUGCAAGUCGAGGGGCAGCACGACUGUAGCAAUACAGUCGCUGGCGACCGGCAAACGGGUGCCGAACACGUACGCAACUUACCCUGAACUGGGGGAUAGCCCGGGGAAAUCCGGAUUCAUACUCCGUAAUAUUAUGGAGUGGCAUCACUUGAUUAUUAAAGCUCCGUCGGUUCGGGAUGGGCGUUCGUCUGCUUAGGUGGUUGGUUGUGGCAACGGCUCACCAAGCCUACGAGCAGUAACUGGUGGGAGGGCACGACCAGUCAGACGGGCACUGGGACCCGGGCCCGACUGCUACGGGAGGGAGCAGUAAGGAAUAUAGGGCGGUGGAGGCAACUCUAACCCUGCCAUGCCGGGUGAAGGAUGAAGGCCCUCGGGAUUGUAGUCUUCUUUUGUAGAAGACGAAUCCUGUGUAAUCUUGCGCGGUUGACGGUACCGGAAGAAUAAGCACCGGCUAACUACGUG
rnacentral:rRNA from 1 species